AGGGCGAGGGGGACACAAGACCUCCUAUCACCUGAUUCCAGCUCCUUGGCCAGAGGAGCAGUAGCCACCUUGUCCUGGUUCAGCCUGUCUUGAAGCUGCUUAUCGAUCUGAUUUUCAAUAUCUGUCACCAUCUCUGAAGUAGAAGGGCUGACAGACAACAGAAGGGACUUCCUGCCAGGGGAGGAGCUAUGAGCAGAAGGCAGUGGGAGCCCUCUCCUUCCUUGAAGACCAGGAAGAUGUGAUAUUUAAAGUGGAAAUGAGAGAACUGAAGUUCUGGAAAGGUGAGAAUCAAAUCUACAGCCCAUUCGUUCAGCAACUUCCUGUCUCCACGCCGUGAAGUUCAGCAGCGCAGCGGCGCAGAGGGAAUUUGCACAGAUGGUUGUGGUGGCAUGGCCCCCGAUCUGUGAGGAAUUCUGGAGAAUAGAAGGGGAGCCAAAGACUGGAGGGGACACGGGUUCAAGCCCUGGUCCGGGAAGAUUCCACAUGCUGCGGAGCAACUAGGCCCGUGAGCCACAGCUACUGAGCCUGCGCUUCUGGAGCCUGUGCCCCGCAACAAGAGAGGCCGCGAUAAUGAGAGGCCCGCGCAUCGCGAUGAAGAGCGGCCCCCACUUGCCGCAACUAGAGAAAGCCCUCGCACAGAAACGAAGACCCAACACAGCCAUAAAUAAAUAAAUAAAUAAAACCCAAAAGUUAAAAAAAAAA